rnacentral:rRNA from 1 species
UGAACGCUGGCGGUAGGCCUAACACAUGCAAGUCGAACGGCAGCACAGUAGGAGCUUGCUCUUACGGGUGGCGAGUGGCGGACGGGUGAGGAAUACAUCGGAAUCUACUUUUUCGUGGGGGAUAACGUAGGGAAACUUACGCUAAUACCGCAUACGACCUACGGGUGAAAGCAGGGGAUCUUCGGACCUUGCGCGAUUGAAUGAGCCGAUGUCGGAUUAGCUAGUUGGCGGGGUAAAGGCCCACCAAGGCGACGAUCCGUAGCUGGUCUGAGAGGAUGAUCAGCCACACUGGAACUGAGACACGGUCCAGACUCCUACGGGAGGCAGCAGUGGGGAAUAUUGGACAAUGGGCGCAAGCCUGAUCCAGCCAUACCGCGUGGGUGAAGAAGGCCUUCGGGUUGUAAAGCCCUUUUGUUGGGAAAGAAAAGCAGCAGGUUAAUACCCCGCUGUUCUGACGGUACCCAAAGAAUAAGCACCGGCUAACUUCGUG